rnacentral:rRNA from 1 species
CCUACGGGCGGCAGCAGUGAGGAAUAUUGGUCAAUGGACGAGAGUCUGAACCAGCCAAGUAGCGUGAAGGAUGACUGCCCUAUGGGUUGUAAACUUCUUUUAUAUGGGAAUAAAAUGUUCCACGUGUGGGAUUUUGUAUGUACCAUAUGAAUAAGGAUCGGCUAACUCCGUGCCAGCAGCCGCGGUAAUACGGAGGAUCCGAGCGUUAUCCGGAUUUAUUGGGUUUAAAGGGAGCGUAGGUGGAUUGUUAAGUCAGUUGUGAAAGUUUGCGGCUCAACCGUAAAAGUGCAGUUGAAACUGGCAGUCUUGAGGACAGUAGAGGUGGGCGGAAGUCGUGGUGUAGCGGUGAAAUGCUUAGAUAUCACGAAGAACUCCGAUUGCGAAGGCAGUUCACUGGACUGCAACUGACACUGAGGCUCGAAAGUGUGGGUAUCAAACAGGAUUAGAUACCCUUGUAGUC